AAGAUUAAGCCAUGCAUGUCUAAGUAUAAGCAAUCUAUACUGUGAAACUGCGAAUGGCUCAUUAAAUCAGUUAUCGUUUAUUUGAUAGUACCUUACUACUUGGAUAACCGUGGUAAUUCUAGAGCUAAUACAUGCUAAAAACCCCGACUUUCGAAGGGGUGUAUUUAUUAGAUAAAAAACCAAUGCCCUUCGGGGCUCUUUGGUGAAUCAUGAUAACUUAACGAAUCGCAUGGCCUUGCGCCGGCGAUGGUUCAUUCAAAUUUCUGCCCUAUCAACUUUCGAUGGUAGGAUAGUGGCCUACCAUGGUAUCAACGGGUAACGGGGAAUUAGGGUUCUAUUCCGGAGAGGGAGCCUGAGAAACGGCUACCACAUCCAAGGAAGGCAGCAGGCGCGCAAAUUACCCAAUCCCGACACGGGGAGGUAGUGACAAUAAAUACUGAUACAGGGCUCUUUUGGGUCUUGUAAUUGGAAUGAGUACAAUUUAAAUACCUUAACGAGGAACAAUUGGAGGGCAAGUCUGGUGCCAGCAGCCGCGGUAAUUCCAGCUCCAAUAGCGUAUAUUAAAGUUGUUGCAGUUAAAAAGCUCGUAGUUGAACCUUGGGCCUGGCUGGCCGGUCUGCCUCACCGCAUGUACUGGUUCGGCCGGGCCUUUCCUCCUGGGGAUCCGCAUGCCCUUCACUGGGUGUGUUGGGGAACCAGGACUUUUACUUUGAAAAAAUUAGAGUGUUCAAAGCAGGCCUUUGCUCGAAUACAUUAGCAUGGAAUAAUAGAAUAGGACGUGCGGUCCUAUUUUGUUGGUUUCUAGGACCGCCGUAAUGAUUAAUAGGGAUAGUCGGGGGCAUCAGUAUUCAGUUGUCAGAGGUGAAAUUCUUGGAUUUACUGAAGACUAACUACUGCGAAAGCAUUUGCCAAGGAUGUUUUCAUUAAUCAGUGAACGAAAGUUAGGGGAUCGAAGACGAUCAGAUACCGUCGUAGUCUUAACCGUAAACUAUGCCGACUAGGGAUCGGGCGAUGUUAUUCUUUUGACUCGCUCGGCACCUUACGAGAAAUCAAAGUCUUUGGGU
rnacentral:rRNA from 1 species